GUGCAGCAGUCGAGAAUCGUUCACAAUGGGCGCAAGCCUGAUGGCGCGACGCCGCGUGUGGGAUGGAGGCCUUCGGGUUGUAAACCACUGUCACAGGGGAAGAAAGGCACGGAUGCUAACAUCGUCCGUGUUUGACGUUACCCGUGAGAGGAAGCCACGGCUAACUCCGUGCCAGCAGCCGCGGUAAUACGGAGGUGGCAAGCGUUGUUCGGAAUUACUGGGCGUAAAGGGUGCGCAGGCGGUCUGUUGUGGUUCGAUGUGAAAUCCCCCGGCUCACCCGGGGAACUGCAUCGAAAACUGACAGACUUGAGUGCAGGAGAGGAGAGCGGAAUUUCCGGUGUAGCGGUGAAAUGCGUAGA
rnacentral:rRNA from 1 species